GGGCCCCUAGCUCAGCUGGUUAGAGCACCUGCUUUGCAAGCAGGGGGUCAAGGGUUCGAAUCCCUUGGGGUCCACCA
rnacentral:tRNA from 1 species